UACGGGGGGAGCAAGCGUUGUUCGGAUUUACUGGGCGUAAAGGGCGCGUAGGCGGCGUGACAAGUCACUUGUGAAAUCUCCGGGCUUAACUCGGAGCGGCCAAGUGAUACUGUCGUGCUAGAGUGCGGAAGGGGCUACUGGAAUUCUCGGUGUAGCGGUGAAAUGCGUAGAUAUCGAGAGGAACACCUGCGGCGAAGGCGGGUAGCUGGGCCGACACUGACGCUGGAGGCGCGAAAGCUAGGGGAGCGAACGGG
rnacentral:rRNA from 1 species